rnacentral:tRNA from 1 species
GCCUUCUUAGCUCAGUUGGUAGAGCAGCUCACUCGUAAUGAGCAGGUCGCGAGUUCGAGUCUCGUGGAAGGCUCCA